rnacentral:rRNA from 1 species
AUGCAAGUCGAACGGUAACAGGAAGAAGCUUGCUGCUUUGCUGACGAGUGGCGGACGGGUGAGUAAUGUCUGGGAAACUGCCUGAUGGAGGGGGAUAACUACUGGAAACGGUAGCUAAUACCGCAUAACGUCGCAAGACCAAAGAGGGGGACCUUCGGGCCUCUUGCCAUCGGAUGUGCCCAGAUGGGAUUAGCUAGUAGGUGGGGUAACGGCUCACCUAGGCGACGAUCCCUAGCUGGUCUGAGAGGAUGACCAGCCACACUGGAACUGAGACACGGUCCAGACUCCUACGGGAGGCAGCAGUGGGGAAUAUUGCACAAUGGGCGCAAGCCUGAUGCAGCCAUGCCGCGUGUAUGAAGAAGGCCUUCGGGUUGUAAAGUACUUUCAGCGGGGAGGAAGGGAGUAAAGUUAAUACCUUUGCUCAUUGACGUUACCCGCAGAAGAAGCACCGGCCAACUCCGUGCCAGCAGCCGCGGUAAUACGGAGGGUGCAAGCGUUAAUCGGAAUUACUGGGCGUAAAGCGCACGCAGGCGGUUUGUUAAGUCAGAUGUGAAAUCCCCGGGCUCAACCCGGGAACUGCAUCUGAUACUGGCAAGCUUGAGUC